rnacentral:rRNA from 1 species
GACGAACGCUGGCGGCGUGCCUAAUACAUGCAAGUCGAGCGGACCAAAGGGAGCUUGCUCCUGGAGGUUAGCGGCGAACGGGUGAGUAACACGUGGGCAACCUGCCUGUAAGACUGGGAUAACAUCGAGAAAUCGGUGCUAAUACCGGAUAAUAAAAGAACUGCAUGGUCUUUUUGAAAGAUGGUUUCGGCUAUCACUUACAGAUGGGCCCGCGGCGCAUUAGCUAGUUGGUGAGGUAACGGCUCACCAAGGCAACGAUGCGUAGCCGACCUGAGAGGGUGAUCGGCCACACUGGGACUGAGACACGGCCCAGACUCCUACGGGAGGCAGCAGUAGGGAAUCUUCCGCAAUGGACGAAAGUCUGACGGAGCAACGCCGCGUGA